rnacentral:ncRNA from 1 species
GUGAUGGGUAGGGAGCGUCGUGUGCCGGGUGAAGCAGCGCCGGAAGGUAGUUGUGGACGGUUCACGAGUGAGAAUGCAGGCAUGAGUAGCGAUUCACACGUGAGAAACGUGUGCGCCGAUUGAACGUAACGGUUCCGUGGUCAAGCUGAUCUCGCCCGAAGGGUAACGUGGGACCCUUAAAGGCGAGGCCGACAGGCGUAGUCGAUGGAUAACCGGUUGAUAUUCCGGUACCCGCUGUGAAGCGUCA